rnacentral:rRNA from 1 species
GGUUAAGUGAAUAAGGGCGUACGGUGAAUGCCUUGGCACUAGGAGCCGAUGAAGGACGGGACGAACACCGAUAUGCUUCGGGGAGCUGUAAGUAAGCUUUGAUCCGGAGAUUUCCGAAUGGGGGAACCUCAUUGUUUUAAUCGACAAUGGUCCACUCAGUGAACACAUAGUUGAGCGGACGGUAGACGUGGUGAACUGAAACAUCUCAGUAGCCACAGGAAGAGAAAGAAAAAUCGAUUUCCCGAGUAGCGGCGAGCGAAACGGAAAGAGGCCAAACCAGCGUGCUUGCAUGCUGGGGUUGUAGGACUGAUGGACGGGAGUGAAUGAGCUAGUCGAACGCCAUGGAAAGGGCGAUCAGAGAGGGUGACAAUCCCGUAGGCGAAAGCUCAGCCACCUCAUUCAGUAUCCUGAGUACGGCGGUACACGUGAAAUUCCGUCGGAAUCCGCCAGGACCAUCUGGCAAGCCUAAAUACUCCCUAGUGACCGAUAGUGAACCAGUACCGUGAGGGAAAGGUGAAAAGCACCCCGGAAGGGGAGUGAAAGAGUACCUGAAACCGUAUGCCUACAAGCAGUCAGAGCCCGUUAAGGGGUGAUGGCGUACUUUUUGUAGAACGGACCGGCGAGUGACGAUAGCAAGCAAGGUUAAGCUGAAGAAGCGGAGCCACAGCGAAAGCGAGUCUGAAGAGGGCGUUGAGUUUGUUGUCGUCGACCCGAAACCAAGUGAUCUACUCAUGUCCAGGCUGAAGGUGUGGUAAAACACACUGGAGGGCCGAACCCACGUCUGUUGAAAAAGGCGGGGAUGAGGUGUGGGUAGCGGUGAAAUUCCAAUCGAACUUGGAGAUAGCUGGUUCUCUCCGAAAUAGCUUUAGGGCUAGCCUCGGAUGAUGACUAUUGGAGGUAGAGCACUGUUUGAUCGAGGGGUCCAUCCUGGAUUACCGACAUCUGAUAAACUCCGAAUGCCAAAUAGUUUAGUCCGGGAGUCAGACUGCGAGUGAUAAGAUCCGUAGUCGAAAGGGAAAGAGCCCAGACCACCAGCUAAGGUCCCAAAGUUUCAGUUAAGUGGAAAAGGAUGUGGGGUUGCUUAGACAACUAGGAUGUUGGCUUAGAAGCAGCCAUCAUUGAAAGAGUGCGUAAUAGCUCACUAGUCGAGUGACCCUGCGCCGAAAAUGUACCGGGGCUAAACUGAACACCGAAGCUGUGGAUCCGUAGGAUGGUAGGAGAGCGUUCUAUAGGCAGAGAAGCAUGAUCGUGAGGACAUGUGGAGCGUAUAGAAGUGAGAAUGCCGGUAUGAGUAGCGAAAGACGGGUGAGAAUCCCGUCCACCGAAUGACUAAGGUUUCCUGGGGAAGGCUCGUCCUCCCAGGGUUAGUCGGGACCUAAGCCGAGACCGAAAGGGAUAGGCGAUGGACAACAGGUUGAGAUUCCUGUACUUGUUUGAUUUGUUUGAGCGAUGGAAGGACACAGAAGGCUAAGCGGAGCGCGGAGAUGGAAAAACGCGUCCAAGCAAUGAGUGAGAAGGUGAGUGAAAGGCUUGCCUCAGA